ACAAAUAAACAAAAAUAUAAAAAAAAACAAAAAUUUAGUUUGAUGUCUGCUAAUUUUGUAUAGUUGCUAAUCCACCAAAUUAUCCUGUAAAGCCUCUUGGUAAAUGCACCAAGCUUGGUUAAACUUGUCAAAACAUUUAUUUUUAAUUGAUAUCUUCUUCUCCAAAAUAUAAUGAUGCUUUAUUUUUUCAAUCAAUGCUGUUAAACUUAAUUCUCUUUUAAAAUAUCGUGUAUUAUAUAUAUAUAUUGUUUAAUCCAGAGAAAAAUAUUGUUUUGAGGGUCACCUUUGUACAUUCGUGAUAAAUUUCCAAACAAAAAAAUAUCCUGUGUAAAUGGUAUACUAAUACCAUUCUGGAGAAACCACAUUUCAGUUUGCUCAAUAAAUUGUUGUACAUAAUAACAGUCCCACAGUAUAUGUUCAAUUGAUUCAAGUUCAGUCUUACAAAAAGUACAAUAUGGGUUUUGCACUAUCCCAAUUUUGUUUAAAAACGUAUUUGUUGCCAGAAUUUUAUGAUUAAUUCUAUACUGAAGCCAUUGUAGCUUAGUAUUUUUUGUAAUAGCAAAUGGUAGUUGAAAAAUCUUUUUCCAGUUUUGAUUUUC
rnacentral:lncRNA from 1 species